rnacentral:snoRNA from 1 species
GAAUCGAAUGAGGAUAUCUCCAUACCGUUUCCUAGCGAGCACCUGAGCAAAUGAAACAUGCACUACCAUCUGACGAUUC